rnacentral:rRNA from 1 species
AGUUUGAUCCUGGCUCAGAACGAACGCUGGCGGCGUGUUUAAGACAUGCAAGUCGCACGGGACAAGUUGAGUAGUAAUACGAUUCUUGUCUAGUGGCGCACGGGUGAGUAACAUGUGAAUUACAUGCCCUUCAGUGGGGAAUAGCCCAGGGAAACUUGGAUUAAUACCCCAUGGUAUCGCAAGAUUAAAGGUGGCCGCAAGGCUGCCGCUGAAGGAUUGGUUCGCACCCUAUCAGCUUGUUGGUGAGGUAAUGGCUCACCAAGGCUACGACGGGUACCUGGUCUGAGAGGACGAUCAGGCACACUGGAACUGAGACACGGUCCAGACACCUACGGGUGGCAGCAGUCGAGAAUAAUUCACAAUGGGGGCAACCCUGAUGGUGCAACGCCGCGUGGAGGAUGACGGUCUUCGGAUUGUAAACUCCUGUCAUCCGGGAGUAAGACCUGGGCAUGAAUAGUGCACAGGGUUGAUAGUACCGGAAGAGGAAGGGACGGCUAACUUCGUGCCAGCAGCCGCGGUAAUACGAAGGUCCCAAGCGUUGUUCGGAAUCACUGGGCGUAAAGGGAGCGUAGGCGGCGUGGUAAGUCAGAUGUGAAAUCCCGGGGCUCAACCCCGGAACUGCAUCCGAUACUGCCAUGCUAGAGGAUUGGAGAGGUAGCUGGAAUUCUUGGUGUA